rnacentral:rRNA from 1 species
UUAGUGGAAGCGUCUGGAAAGGCGUGCGAUACAGGGUGACAGCCCCGUACACAAAAAUGCACAUAUUGUGAGCUUGAUGAGUAGGGCGGGACACGUGGUAUCCUGUCUGAAUAUGGGGGGACCAUCCUCCAAGGCUAAAUACUCCUGACUGACCGAUAGUGAACCAGUACCGUGAGGGAAAGGCGAAAAGAACCCCGGCGAGGGGAGUGAAAAAGAACCUGAAACCGUGUACGUACAAGCAGUGGGAGCACGCUUAGGCGUGUGACUGCGUACCUUUUGUAUAAUGGGUCAGCGACUUAUAUUCUGUAGCAAGGUUAACCGAAUAGGGGAGCCGAAGGGAAACCGAGUCUUAACUGGGCGUUAAGUUGCAGGGUAUAGACCCGAAACCCGGUGAUCUAGCCAUGGGCAGGUUGAAGGUUGGGUAACACUAACUGGAGGACCGAACCGACUAAUGUUGAAAAAUUAGCGGAUGACUUGUGGCUGGGGGUGAAAGGCCAAUCAAACCGGGAGAUAGCUGGUUCUCCCCGAAAGCUAUUUAGGUAGCGCCUCGUGAAUUCAUCUCCGGGGGUAGAGCACUGUUUCGGCAAGGGGGUCAUCCCGACUUACCAACCCGAUGCAAACUGCGAAUACCGGAGAAUGUUAUCACGGGAGACACACGGCGGGUGCUAACGUCCGUCGUGAAGAGGGAAACAACCCAGACCGCCAGCUAAGGUCCCAAAGUCAUGGUUAAGUGGGAAACGAUGUGGGAAGGCCCAGACAGCCAGGAUGUUGGCUUAGAAGCAGCCAUCAUUUAAAGAAAGCGUAAUAGCUCACUGGUCGAGUCGGCCUGCGCGGAAGAUGUAACGGGGCUAAACCAU